AAUAGCCCACAUAUUUUCAAGUGCAAUGUGACAUUUACCAAGAGAGAUCUUUGACUUAGCCAUUGAAAGCCUCAAUAAAGUUAGAAGACUGAAAAAGCACAGAGGAUGAUUGCAGAGGAGAAAGCAUUUAAUUAGAAAUUAAUAUCAAACAUCAUUUUCUGAAUGUUG